GUUUUGCCGUUCAAGAGUUUAAUAAACUUGCUUAAUGGUUACUUGCAUGAUGUUCUGAUUUUGCAUGCUGUGACAGUUUUUACAAGAAAGACCCAAAUACUGUUGACUGUGUUUUUGCAUGGAUUCAGAGCUUCAAACUGUGUGCUGCACAAUGUAACUUCAUAUUAACAAAUCUGUUUUAUUAUUUUUGUUGCAGUAAGAUGACAGCCAAAAUUGCACCUGGCACAUGGGUGCUACUGAAAAACAAGGUUGGUUAUAAAGAAGUCUGCUAAAGUUGGGACUGCUGAAGUGUCAAACCCUUAAUAAACUCAUGCUUUUUCUUUUUUUUUUAGGAUAUCCCCCAACAGAUUGGUGGUGUAGACUGUGGAGUCUUCAUGUUGAUGUGCGACUUUCCAAACAUACGGAGAUGGUGGGCUCUUAUUCUUAUGGAGAACUUUGGGGUUUUCUCUGAAAGUGCAGAAACCCUACAAGAGUCCCUUCCAUGUGAAGAACAAGCUACGCUUAGCAGCAGUGAGGAGGUGUGUAUAUAUAUGU